rnacentral:rRNA from 1 species
AUGCGUGUAUAUCAGAACGAAUAACGCACUGGUAGUUAACAAAUAUAAACAUAAUUUAACUGACUAAAAUUUUAAUAUAAUUGUUAGUCCAACACAGGUAUGCAACUAGGGAAAGAUUAAAAGAAGUAAAAGGAACUCGGC